UACGUAGGGGGCAAGCGUUGUCCGGAAUCAUUGGGCGUAAAGCGCACGUAGGCGGCCUGGUAAGUCCGUUGUGAAAGUCAGAGGCUCAACCUCUGGAGGCCAAUGGAUACUGCCGGGCUAGAGUCCGGAAGAGGCGAGUGGAAUUCCUGGUGUAGCGGUGGAAUGCGCAGAUAUCAGGAGGAACACCGGUGGCGAAGGCGGCUUUCUGGACAGUAACUGACGCUGAGGCGCGAAAGCUAGGGGAGCAAACAGG
rnacentral:rRNA from 1 species